rnacentral:tRNA from 1 species
CGGGAAGUAGCUCAGCUUGGUAGAGAACUUGUUUUGGGAGCAAGGGGUCGCAGGUUCGAAUCCUGUCUUCACGA